UGGGGAAUAUUGGACAAUGGGCGAAAGCCUGAUCCAGCAAUGCCGCGUGAGUGAUGAAGGCCUUAGGGUUGUAAAGCUCUUUUACCAGGGAUGAUAAUGACAGUACCUGGAGAAUAAGCUCCGGCUAACUCCGUGCCAGCAGCCGCGGUAAUACGGAGGGAGCUAGCGUUGUUCGGAAUUACUGGGCGUAAAGGGCGCGUAGGCGGUGUGUCAAGUCAGUUGUGAAAUCUCCGAGCUUAACUCGGAACGGUCAACUGAUACUGUCACACUAGAGUACAGAAGGGGCAAUCGGAAUUCUUGGUGUAGCGGUGAAAUGCGUAGAUAUCGGAAGGAACAUCAGUUGCGAAGGCGGCUCUCUGGACUCAAACUGACGCUGAGGCACGAAAGCGUGGGUAGCGAACAGGAUUAGAUACCCACGUAGUCCCUGAGCGGGCUGGCAAGGCGCAU
rnacentral:rRNA from 1 species